rnacentral:rRNA from 1 species
GGUGAACGCUAGCUACAGGCUUAACACAUGCAAGUCGAGGGGAAACGGCAUUAAGUGCUUGCACUUUUUGGACGUCGACCGGCGCACGGGUGAGUAACGCGUAUCCAACCUUCCCAUGACUAAGGGAUAACCUGCCGAAAGGCAGACUAAUACCUUAUGGUCUUCACUGACGGCAUCAGAUGUGAAGUAAAGAUUUAUCGGUUAUGGAUGGGGAUGCGUCUGAUUAGCUUGUUGGCGGGGUAACGGCCCACCAAGGCAACGAUCAGUAGGGGUUCUGAGAGGAAGGUCCCCCACAUUGGAACUGAGACACGGUCCAAACUCCUACGGGAGGCAGCAGUGAGGAAUAUUGGUCAAUGGGCGAGAGCCUGAACCAGCCAAGUAGCGUGCAGGAUGACGGCCCUAUGGGUUGUAAACUGCUUUUGUAUGGGGAUAAAGUCAAUCACGUGUGAUUGUUUGCAGGUACCAUACGAAUAAGGACCGGCUAAUUCCGUGCCAGCAGCCGCGGUAAUACGGAAGGUCCGGGCGUUAUCCGGAUUUAUUGGGUUUAAAGGGAGCGUAGGCUGGAGAUUAAGUGUGUUGUGAAAUGUAGACGCUCAACGUCUGACUUGCAGCGCAUACUGGUUUCCUUGAGUACGCACAACGUUGGCGGAAUUCGUCGUGUAGCGGUGAAAUGCUUAGAUAUGACGAAGAACUCCGAUUGCGAAGGCAGCUGACGGGAGCGCAACUGACGCUGAAGCUCGAAGGUGCGGGUAUCGAACAGG